GUCUACAGCCAUGCUACCCUGAACAGGCCCAAUGUCUGAUCUCAGAAACUAAGCAAGGUCGGGCCUGGUUAGUACUUGGAUGGGAGACCACCUAGGAAGACCAGGUGCUGUAGGUG
rnacentral:rRNA from 1 species